AUGCCGCGUGCAGGAUGACGGCCCUAUGGGUUGUAAACUGCUUUUAUGUAGGAAGAAACACUCUCACGUGUGAGAGCUUGACGGUACUACAAGAAUAAGGACCGGCUAACUCCGUGCCAGCAGCCGCGGUAAUACGGAGGGUCCAAGCGUUAUCCGGAAUCAUUGGGUUUAAAGGGUCCGUAGGCGGAUUAUUAAGUCAGAGGUGUAAGUUUGCAGCUCAACUGUAAAAUUGCCUUUGAAACUGGUAGUCUUGAAUUAUUAUGAAGUGGUUAGAAUAAGUAGUGUAGCGGUGAAAUGCAUAGAUAUUACUUAGAAUACCAAUUGCGAAGGCAGAUCACUAAUAAUAUAUUGACGCUGAGGGACGAAAGCGUGGGUAGCGAACAGGAUUAGAUACCCUGGUAGUCCACGCCGUAAACG
rnacentral:rRNA from 1 species